rnacentral:lncRNA from 1 species
GUGGUCUUCAUUUAUUAACCUUAUUUAAGUUACAUGUUGCCGUCACGAAAGUUUUGGAAGUGCAGGGAGCUAUGUGUAACUCUGGAAGAUGCUGAUAUAAAAAGGUAGCGAUUAGGGUUCUGGAUCAUUCUCUCGCACGCCUGCAUUCUCUUUUAUCUCACACCCACCAAUCCUAUCUCUCUCAGUCUGUUCAAGUUGUUACGAGUUGUUGAUGAUGUUGAUGAUCCAGUGUGGAUCUUGGUUUUAGUUGUUGAUCCUUCUUUGUGGAUCUGUUGUUGCUGUUGAUCCUGUGGAUCUCUGUAUUUGGUUGUAUCGUUCUUGUUAAUCAACUGAUAAUCAUCAGUUGAUUAUUUCCUUGUAUUGUUUGUAUUAUAGAUCUUACAAUUUGUAAGAUCUUGGGAGGUUGGGAGUUUUUUAGGGUUGGU